GACGAACGCUGGCGGCGUGCUUAACACAUGCAAGUCGAACGAAGAGCGAUGGAAGCUUGCUUCUAUCAAUCUUAGUGGCGAACGGGUGAGUAACGCGUAAUCAACCUGCCCUUCAGAGGGGGACAACAGUUGGAAACGACUGCUAAUACCGCAUACGAUCUAAUCUCGGCAUCGAGGAUAGAUGAAAGGUGGCCUCUAUGUAUAAGCUAUCACUGAAGGAGGGGAUUGCGUCUGAUUAGCUAGUUGGAGGGGUAACGGCCCACCAAGGCGAUGAUCAGUAGCCGGUCUGAGAGGAUGAACGGCCACAUUGGGACUGAGACACGGCCCAGACUCCUACGGGAGGCAGCAGUGGGGAAUCUUCCGAAAUGGACGAAAGUCUGACGGAGCAACGCCGCGUGAGUGAUGACGGCCUUCGGGUUGUAAAGCUCUGUUAAUCGGGACGAAAGGCCUUCUUGCGAAUAGUGAGAAGGAUUGACGGUACCGGAAUAGAAAGCCACGGCUAACUACGUG
rnacentral:rRNA from 1 species